rnacentral:rRNA from 1 species
UACGUAGGGUGCGAGCGUUAAUCGGAAUUACUGGGCGUAAAGCGUGCGCAGGCGGUUUUGUAAGCCAGAUGUGAAAUCCCCGGGCUUAACCUGGGAAUGGCAUUUGGGACUGCAAGGCUGGAGUGUGGCAGAGGAGACUGGAAUUCCCGGUGUAGCAGUGAAAUGCGUAGAUAUCGGGAGGAAUACCGAUGCGAAGGCAGGUCUCUGGGCUGACACUGACGCUCAUGCACGAAAGCGUGGGGAGCAAACAGG